UAGAAUUUGGUGUAAUUGGGAGCACGGAGAGUUUUGGAUUCUUAGGAGUAGGUUCAAUUCCUAUAAUUCUAG
rnacentral:tRNA from 3 species